UGAAGAUCAUUGUAAUAAAAAAAACCAUUGUGAAAUUCUGAAUUCUAUUUAAUUUAAAAUAAAAAUGAAGAUGAAUAUUUGUAGACGAUUGUUUUCAACGUUGAAUAAAUUGUCUGCGCUCCCGAAAAUCCAAAUAAUAAAUCAUAGACCGGUGCUAAGCAUAAGCCCGAAUCAAAAAGCUGCCUUUUGCAGUCGUGAAUCCAAUGAUGGUUCAUCAUUGCCUCCAUCGUUGGAUUCACGACUGCAAAAGGUAGUAUCUAUUAACUAUUGUGCCAGUAACAGUAAUUCGGUUGUUAACCAUGAAUAUUAUUUAUGCGAUCUUAGAAACCAAAAUUGGGUCUACGAAGACGAAAUCUCCAGCCAUAUCCACAUAUCGAUUGUGUCAGAGUUCUAAAAGAUGAAAAUUAUUUACUCUCAUCACACAAACUCGUUAAGUAUGGUGAACACGAUUUUUUACAGCGAUUUGAUGGAUAUGUGUGUGUGUUUAUAAGUGGAUAUCAUCAUCCACGUAAACUUGAUGCCAAGUCAGGGUAUUCCGUCUAUUUUGGUCCGGAUCAUUCAUUGAUUUUGCAAGGAAGUGUUGAGCGCCGACAAUCACCGAACCAUGCAAAACUAUAUGCCGUCUUGAAAGCAAUGCAACAAAUUCCUAAAGAUUCCUUUAAAAAAUUGUGCAAGCAAAUUAAAUAAAGGCAACAGCGGCAAAUUAAAUAAGGACGUACAAAAAUCCAUGGAAUUAAAUGAAAUUCUUAAAUCGAUGAGAUCUUUGAGCGAAACCCGAAUACAAAUAUAUUUUGCUCAAAAUACAAACGGAGAAAAUCUUAGCGUAAAAACCAAAUAUCUUUGAAAUCGGAAUAAAAGUAAAAUAACUCGACUUAUUUUAU